rnacentral:lncRNA from 1 species
CUUGCGAUGUUCCUUUUUCUGCAAUAUAAGCCAUCACAUGAUUUCAGUUCCAUAAAUUAAUGAUGACAGAAAGAAAAAAGUUGCUUGAAAUUUGGAGGUAUGUGAGACGUCUAACUGCAAUAUAAGCCAUCACAUGAUUUCAGUUCCAUAAAUUAAUGUUCAUUUUUCUCUAUUUUUAACCAACCAUGGCCUAGUACUUUUUGUGUUAAUGAGGGAUGAAGGGGUUGUUCAUGGGAGUUGUUCCCCGUGUAGGUCGUGCCGGCCCUUCUGUUGGCAUGGUCAUCUCCUCAUAUGAAGUCGUCAAGUAUUUUCGUCCCUUCUCAUCUCCUCUGCUCCUCCCCCUCCCUGCAUCCCUCCUCCUCUUCCUUCCCAUUUUCCAGUUUUCUUCCUUCCUUUUUAAUUCCUGUUCUCUCAUGAGUUUAAUCUCAGUUUUUUUUUAGUCAAGUCUCAACUAUCUUGGGCUUCAUGGCCCUUAUCCGACUUUUUUCACCUGCUUUUACUACUUUCUAUCUUUUAAUUUUUCUUCUUCCCUCUUCCUUAGGCGUAAUAUUUCAUUCCCACACACCAUGUGCUCGGAUUGAUGGGAUUCGAUAAAAAAUUAAAUAUAAGAUCCACUUCCCUCCCUUACUUCCCCUCCCCCAACCGGCAUGCCGGAUCCCCAUUGAGACCAAGUGUUAUGUGGCCUUCACCACAGUAUGGGUAUUUUACAUACCCUCAUCCUCACUUUUUACCCAUAAGAUACUUUAUUUGUGUAUAUUUGUAGGGAUUAGUGAAGGGAUUUGGAUCUGGUGUCUACUUUCUCGGUUCAGAGUUUGACUUCCUUUGAGGAUGUGGCUGCGGUGGCGAUCUGAUUUAUGCUGCUUGAGAUUAGGGUUGUUUGUUGUUUGUUUUUUCAGCCUUAAAGCCUAAGCUUAUGUGGGUCUCACGUUGUAUCUUGGUUGCGGCUCUCAUUUUGCUUAGGCCUUUUACUUUAUGUUGUUGUUUACCUGGCUCUUUUUGGGCCCUUAUACUAGUUUUUAAUAUAAUGAAAGUUCGCUUCUUGAUUUUAAAAAAAAAACAAACAAACAAAGACUACCAGAAGGGGGAUUAAUUCCAGAAUACUAUGUUCUGACAUCUAAUAGGAGAGUUUCUCCAGUGCAAAUGCAAAUCCGCCAGUGUCAAUGGUGUUUAGGGUCCGAAAGAAGUACUUAUAACUCCCUAAUUUUCUUUAUUCCAUUUUCAAGACUAACUCUUUAGAAAGAUUCAUAACAGUAAGCAUAAAAGACUUGUAAAGUAAAUAUACAUACAGGAAGUUAGGAUGACUAGGGAAAAGUGGAUGGGGAAGAUAGAAAGAGGUUUACACAGAGAGACAAAUGGAGAAGAUGGACUGGUUAGGGUUUUGAUUUUUAAUAAUUAAGGGCAUGUUUGGUUAAUUAGUUGGGUUUUUAAUAAGGGUAGUUUAGGUACUAUCAGUCUGAUGUCCUUUUGUCCGAAACAUGGCCUGUUGAUUGGAGAGGGUUAUUAGAGCAUUUUCAAUAGAGAGGUCAAAAGAUAAAUGCCAAAUGUUAAUUUGAUGACUAACAUUACAAUGUCAAAAUUUCUCUUUUUCCAACCGAUAUAUUUUUUUAGUUAUAAAUUAUAUUUGUAGGAUACAUUUUAAAAAGAAAUCAAUUAAAAUAAAUUUUCAAGAUCUAUAAUUGGUGCAUUAAUGUCA